rnacentral:rRNA from 1 species
CUGAUAUAAAUUAAAGGGCUGCAGUAAUUUGACUGUACAAAGGUAGCAUAAUCAUUAGUCUUUUAAUUGAAGACUUGUAUGAAAGAUUUGAUGAAAUAUAAACUGUCUCUAAUUUAUAGUUAAAACUUAAUUUUUUAGUUAAAAAGCUAAAAUAAAUUUAAAAGACGAGAAGACCCUAUAGAGUUUUAUAAUUUAUUAUAUAAAAUAUUUUUAUAAAAUUUUAAUAUUUAAUAUAAUAAAUUAUUUUGUUGGGGUGAUAAAAAAAUUAAUAAAACUUUUUUUAAAUAUUAUCAAAGAUAAUUGAGUAAAUGAUCCUAAAUUAAAGAUUAUAAGAAAAAAUUACCUUAGGGAUAACAGCGUAAUAUUUUUUUUUAGUACAAAUAAAAAAAAAAGUUUGCGACCUCGAUGUUGGAUUAAGAUAAAAUUUAAAUGCAAAAGUUUAAAAUUUUUGAUCUGUUCGAUCAUUAAAAUCUUACGUGAUCUGAGUUCA